GGUGCCAUGGUGUAGCGGUUACCACUUAGGACUCUGAGUCCUGCGACGGGAGUUCAAAUCUCCCUUGGACCU
rfam:Toxocara canis scaffold209, whole genome shotgun sequence.